rnacentral:rRNA from 1 species
CAGGAUGAACGCUAGCUACAGGCUUAACACAUGCAAGUCGAGGGGCAGCAUCAUCAAAGCUUGCUUUGAUGGAUGGCGACCGGCGCACGGGUGAGUAACACGUAUCCAACCUGCCGACAACACUGGGAUAGCCUUUCGAAAGAAAGAUUAAUACCGGAUGGCAUAAUUAUUCCGCAUGGGAUAAUUAUUAAAGAAUUUCGGUUGUCGAUGGGGAUGCGUUCCAUUAGGCAGUUGGCGGGGUAACGGCCCACCAAACCUACGAUGGAUAGGGGUUCUGAGAGGAAGGUCCCCCACAUUGGAGCUGAGACACGGUCCAAACUCCUACGGGAGGCAGCAGUGAGGAAUAUUGGUCAAUGGACGAGAGUCUGAACCAGCCAAGUAGCGUGAAGGAUGACUGCCCUAUGGGUUGUAAACUUCUUUUAUACGGGAAUAAAGUGAGCCACGUGUGGCUUUUUGUAUGUACCGUAUGAAUAAGGAUCGGCUAACUCCGUGCCAGCAGCCGCGGUAAUACGGAGGAUUCGAGCGUUAUCCGGAUUUAUUGGGUUUAAAGGGAGCGUAGGCGGGUUGUUAAGUCAGUUGUGAAAGUUUGCGGCUCAACCGUAAAAUUGCAGUUGAUACUGGCGACCUUGAGUGCAACAGAGGUAGGCGGAAUUCGUGGUGUAGCGGUGAAAUGCUUAGAUAUCACGAAGAACUCCGAUUGCGAAGGCAGCUUACUGGAUUGUAACUGACGCUGAUGCUCGAAAGUGUGGGUAUCAAACAGGAUUAGAUACCCUGGUAGUCCACACAGUAAACGAUGAAUACUCGCUGUUGGCGAUAUACAGUCAGCGGCC